rnacentral:lncRNA from 1 species
ACGCGAAUGGCACAUGCACGGCACACGUGCAUGGGACACGCACGGCACACGCAAGGAACACAUGCAUGGCAUGCAAACGGCACACAUGCAUGCCACACGUGCACAGCAUACAUGCAAAUGGCACACGUGUACGGUGCACACGAAUGGCACAUGCGCAUGGUACACACAAAUGGCACACGCACGGCAAGUGCAUGGCACACGCGCAUGGCACACACAAAACGGCACAUGCAAAUGGCACACACACGGCACACACAAUACACACGGAAACGGCAUAGUGAUGGGACCUCUCUGGGAGAAUGGGCACACAGCAGCCCUGCCUCCAAGGCUGGCCUUUUCUCAGGGUGUUUGUUGAGCCCUGGGGCUAACACAGCCCCCUGAGCCUGGCAGUGGGGCCUCAGCUCCCUUGGAGUUAGGUGCACCCACCUCAGCUGUGUCCCUGGGGUGAGGGCCCUCCCCACCCUCACUGGGUGCCCCUGUGUCCCCCUGCAGGAAAUCAGGCACCCAGUGCACCCCAGCGUCUCCCUCCUGGGAGGCUGUGUGAUUUAUUAACGUUGGAAGACAUCACAUAGAUUGCACUC